CUUCUUUUUCCCCUCUUCCUUUCUUCCCUGACGGUGGGAAGUGAAGCGCCACGGUAGUUCCGAGUUGUGUCCUCGAUGGCGGUGCUAAAGCACACAAUUUUAGAGUGUUUGAAGUGGUUUCCGACAGUUUGUGGAUCGGGAAAGAAGCAGUAAAGCAUUACUGGCUGAAUUAGGCGAAGGGGAGAAGAAGGUGUGUAUGGCAUUUUAAAGUGAGGGCUAGGUUAUUAAGGCCACUUUUUAAUCUAUGUCUGGUGUGCUCUCUCUCUUCUGUUUUCUCUUCCUUGAUCUAAGAUAUAAUUUUGUGAUGGAACAUGGCUAAGGAUUAACAAGUUGGUCUGGUGGUUGCACCAAGCUGGCCUGCCCGCUCCAAGUUGCGAGUUGACCCACGGGGCUCAUGCGAAGGUACAUGUCUUGUGAGUCUUAGACAAGAGGGCAUAGCGAGAGGCUGGUUUCACAUGUAUAAUUUUGAUGGUAAUAACAGUUCAUUGACAUAUAGAGGCAUCAAAGUCUUUCAAGACAUUACAGUAUGACCCUCUUGAAGGUAAUAUUUUCUCUUUGUGAUGCUAGCUCAGUGUUCUGCUACUCUUCCGAACAGUUAUAAGGCGCUGAUGCAGUCCGAUUUUGGUUGUGAUCUGGUUCUACCUGAAAUUCCUUAAGCAGGUGCAUGUUCUUAAAACAAUUAUUAAUAAAGGUGGGAAGGUUGUAAAGGAGAGGUUGGUUUCCUUAGAUUAAUUGACAAAUUGAUGAAUCACAUGUUCUGAAUGUGUCCUAAUCAAGCCAAUCCUUUGGGUGCUGUUCAUAAGGAAUGAGAACAUUUUCCCUAAUUUUUUCUUCAAUGCAUGUUUGAUAUUAAUGUGUUGUUGCAGUCUGCGUUACAGUGCCUUGCACUCACCGGUCAUUGCAAAUAAGAUAAAGUGUUUCAAGAUUGAGAAUUUGGGUCGCUGAUUAAAUUGUUCUAUGUUGUGAUUUCCUCAAGUGACUAAAGAUGUGGAGUAAUUGUCACUAGGAGCAUUGAGUUCAAGGAUAAAGUCAAGAACAUUGGUGUCAGUCUUGUAAAGAAUGUUGCUAAUGCUGGUGAAGAAUCAAAUUGAUGAACUAUACAAGGAAGCAUGGGAGCAAUGUCAUGAGCCAUGUGAUGCAAAAUCCAUUUG